rnacentral:rRNA from 1 species
GACGAACGCUGGCGGCGUGCUUAACACAUGCAAGUCGAACGGUAAGGCCCCAGCUUGCUGGGGUACACGAGUGGCGAACGGGUGAGUAACACGUGGGUGACCUGCCCCGCACUUCGGGAUAAGCCUGGGAAACUGGGUCUAAUACCGGAUAGGACCGCACCGUGAGGGUGUGGUGGAAAGUUUUUCGGUGUGGGAUGGGCCCGGGGCCUAUCAGCUUGUUGGUGGGGUAAUGGCCUACCAAGGCGGCGACGGGUAGCCGGCCUGAGAGGGUGGACGGCCACAUUGGGACUGAGCCACGGCCCAGACUCCUACGGGAGGCAGCAGUGGGGAAUAUUGCACAAUGGGCGGAAGCCUGAUGCAGCGACGCCGCGUGGGGGAUGACGGCCUUCGGGUUGUAAACUCCUUUCACCAUCGACGAAGGUUUUCUGACGGUAGAUGGAGAAGAAGCACCGGCUAACUACGUG